GUAGGGGUUGUAAAGUGUGUGUGUUUAGGGAAAGUAGUGUGUUUUUGCUUACAGGAGAUCUAGUGUGUUCAUAGGGGAUCCAGAGUGUGUGUGUCUUUAAUGUAGUGUGUGUAGGUGGUGCAUUGUGUGCCAAUAGGGGAUCUAUUGUGUGUGUAGGGGAUAUAUUGUGUGUGGAGAACCCAGAGUGUGCAUAGCAGAUUUAGUGUGUGUGUGUGUGUGUGUGUGUG